rnacentral:rRNA from 1 species
CCUACGGGUGGCAGCAGUGAGGAAUAUUGGUCAAUGGACGCAAGUCUGAACCAGCCAUGCCGCGUGCAGGAUGACGGCUCUAUGAGUUGUAAACUGCUUUUGUACGAGGGUAAACCCCGAUACGUGUAUCGGGUUGAAAGUAUCGUACGAAUAAGGAUCGGCUAACUCCGUGCCAGCAGCCGCGGUAAUACGGAGGAUCCGAGCGUUAUCCGGAUUUAUUGGGUUUAAAGGGUGCGUAGGCGGUUUGAUAAGUUAGAGGUGAAAUGUCGGGGCUCAACCCCGAAACUGCCGCUAAUACUGUUGGACUAGAGAAUAGUUGCGGUAGGCGGAAUGUAUGGUGUAGCGGUGAAAGGCUUAGAGAUCAUACAGAACACCGAUUGCGAAGGCAGCUUACCAAACUAUAUCUGACGUUGAGGCACGAAAGCGUGGGUAGCAAACAGGAUUAGAUACCCCUGUAGUC